rnacentral:misc_RNA from 1 species
CCUUCUUCUUUCUCAAUCAAUCACCAAGCUACUCAGCUCCAUCAAACAACCAUACUCAAGUUGGAAAUUAAUAGCUCAUUGCUCCUCUAAAAGCAGACUACCAAACCCAUGCAGGUAAUUUAAAUGCAUUGUUGCCACUUACACUGGAGACCAAAAUUUCCAAAAGAUGGGAGAAGGAAGCUUGUAAAUUUGGGUAAUUCCUGGAAUAGAGAACACUAGAAAAUCUCAAAUCUUCAUGGGGUAAAGAGAAAAGCAGGUUAUGGUUUUGGCCGAGGCCAGAGGCCAAGAAAUAACAAAAGGCAAAAAGGAGAUUGUAUUUGUGGCCAAGGCCCUUUGACAAAAUAAGGGGCUAAACAAAUUCCUGCUUCAGUUGCUAUUUGCCAUUCUCUCCCCAGUGAGUAGCAGCAACUAACAAGCCAAUGACCACAUCUACCUCUCAAUUCAUGGACAUUGAAAAGCAUAGUCUUGGAUAAGAAGACAAUCACCUCAGUUCACCUACUCACUUCUCAUGGGCAUUCAUUUUCGGUGCAACUACAUUGCCACAAGCUAUCAUCUCACAAUGUGAUGGUACAUUUGAUAUCAUAAACAGAGCUAGAAAAAUCUGAAGCCGAACAUUAGCAAGUUGCUUAUAAACAAAACCAAUGCCAAUGUCAUAAACUAGCAAUCAAUAAACCACAACAACCAACUCUAAUCAGCCGAUCCAUCUCGUAUUACCAAUGCCAUAAACUAGCAAUCAAGAACAAGUGAAGCAAAUAAACAAAACCAGAAAAAUCGAUCAAAACAAAUAAUAGAACACCCAAAACUCACUUGUUAACUUCCAUCAAGUAAUAGCAUCCAACGAUUGCAAAUUCGAUUUCAACAACAAAGCUCCUACUCGCUACAACCAUCCCACCAUUUACAGAGCAACACAACAAGGGAGUGGGUAAGGGGAAAAAAGCAUUCAGUUACCAGUCAAAGAUCCGCAACAACAGGCACAUCUUCUGACUUGGACUUGGGUUGGGGCUUGGUUUCGGAUCGUUCAGUUUAGGCUCCGGGAGCCACCUUGCCGCGAUAAAGCUUGCCAAACACGUGAAGAGCGGUGACGAAACCGAUGAAGCAGAGGCUCAUCACGAGGACGAUAGUGGGAGAGAUCUUGAGGCCCGGAGCAUCAUCAGUAUAGAAUCGGAGCAUGUUGCUGCUGCCACCUCCGAGUCCCCCGGCAGCACCGGAUGCAGAACCGGAAGCAGAGGAUCCAAGGCGGCGGCGACGCAAGCCAGCCGUAGCAGCAGCAGACCCGCGAGGAGCCAUGACGCCGGGACGGGAGGUAGAGGAGGAAGCGGUUUGAGACUGGGAAGUUCCUCGCGCCAUCGAUCAAGCGUAGAAGAGACCGAAGCAAAGCAAUCAGUGAAGUAAGACAACAAGAGAUGGAGGAAGAUAGAGAAAAUAGGGGAGCAAAAAUGAAAGAAGGUUAGGGGUGUAAAUAUGAUGAAAUUGAAGGGUCUAGUUAUAA